UGGAGUUCAGCUCCACACUUGAGGAACCCACAAAGGGUAGGCUUUUCAUACCUAAACCCCUUUCCUCACUCUAGCGACCACAAAGAUCAAGCUAGAGUUACUUACUCAAUCGUCAUGGUAAUACAAACUUACCCGGGCAGACCACAAGCUUGGGAAGUCCAUGGACAAUGCCUAGCUGGCUAGGAGCUUGAAGCUCAAAG
rnacentral:lncRNA from 1 species